CGACUCCUGCUGUGACAGACCUUUAACUCUGAGACGAGACGUUACAAACUGAAGUGCGUAGCUUUGAUGUCGCCGUUUGGUUUUCAGAUCGAGGUGAACUUUUCGUUUGGGGGAAGAACGUCAGAGGCUGCUUGGGUAUCGGAAAGAAAGAUGACCAGUUCUUCCCCUGGAGGGUGACCGUUCCAGGUCAGGUGGUGGAUGUAGCGUGCGGUGUGGACCACAUGGUGGCGCUGGUGAAGUCUCUCCUGUGAGCUGGGAUCCAUCAGGUGACGACUGAAGGUGGAACCAGAACCAGCUCUUUACUUCCAGACUGAAUCUGGACUCAUUAAAUAGACUUUUUCCGCCGAGUUUAAAUCUCCAGUCGGUCGUUUUGCGUCACAUGGAGAUUAUUUACGACACGAAGGAAGAGAAACGGCAAAGAGCUUGGAAAAGGAAGCGGUUCUGAGGAAUCGGGUUCUGGUUGUUUUUGGUACUUCUGGACUUUGUGUUUGAGCUGCAAUAAUAAUAAUGAUCGGAUGGAUUAUUAUGCAGCAGAAAAUGGGCUCAGGUUGUAAUAAUGUAAUCUGAAACUGACCAUUUUUGCUAAAAAAAAAAAAAAAAAUUGCAAAUAAAUAAAAGAUGUAUAUAAUAAGCAUAGCCUGAUGUUAAUUCAGUUUGUUCUAUUUUAUGCAUCCAUAUCAUUUUUUUUGCGAGAUCUUCCUCCACUAAUCUUGUUAGUAUCUGAGAUCGGCUGGAUGAAUAAAACCUGAUAAUUCACUGAAUCAGUUUAUCCCAGCGCUGGGCGCUUUGGCUUAAAAAAAAAAAAUAAAAAUAAAAUCUUAUUUUCAUACCA